CAGGAUUCCCCUAGUAACUGCGAGUGAAGCGGGAAAAGCUCAAAUUUAAAAUCUGGCGGCCUCCGGCCGUCCGAGUUGUAAUCUAGAGAAGUGAUGCCCGCGCUGGACCGUGUACAAGUCUCCUGGGAUGGAGCGUCAUAGAGGGUGAGAAUCCCGUCUCUGACACGGACUACCAGAGCUUUGUGGUACGCUCUCAAAGAGUCGAGUUGUUUGGGAAUGCAGCUCAAAAUGGGUGGUAAAUUCCAUCUAAAGCUAAAUAUUGGCGAGAGACCGAUAGCGAACAAGUACCGUGAGGGAAAGAUGAAAAGAACUUUGGAAAGAGAGUUAAACAGUACGUGAAAUUGCUGAAAGGGAAACGCUUGAAGUCAGUCGCGUUGGCCGGGGAUCAGCCUCGCUUUUCGCGUGGUGUACUUUCCGGUUGACGGGUCAGCAUCAAUUUUGACUGCUGGAAAAAGGCCUGAGGAAUGUAGCAGCUUCGGCUGUGUUAUAGCUUCUUGUCACAUACAGCGGUCGGGAUUGAGGAACUCAGCACGCCGCAAGGCCGGGUUUCGACCACGUUCGUGCUUAGGAUGCUGGCAUAAUGGCUUUAAGCGACCCGUCUUGAAACACGGACCAAGGAGUCUAACAUGCCUGCGAGUGUUUGGGUGGAAAACCCGAGCGCGUAAUGAAAGUGAAAGUUGAGAUCCCUGUCGUGGGGAGCAUCGACGCCCGGACCAGAACUUUUGGGACGGAUCCG
rnacentral:rRNA from 1 species